GCAAAGGAAGACUUGCAACCUUUGCUGGAAAGGUAGUACAGGAAGAAAAACAGUGAGGAGUGGCUAGGAGAAUAGAAAUCCCAGGGUGUCCACCCCCUCCCUAAAUUCUUUCUACUUAAUCAUUUGCCCAGAUUGUGCUCAGGCAACCUUUUAAUCUAAGUAGCAGAAUCAACAGAUUUGACUUUGACCUUCGUUUUUGCUUCACUCCAAAGCAAAGAGUUGGAAGUGCCUACAGCAAGGAAAGGAACUGAAUAAUUUCCAAGCAGAUUCUGUCAUGUUUCUGGGCAUGCUAGCAAUAUUUCCAGAACCUGGAACAGAGUGCAAGGUUCAGAUUUGUAACUGGCUCUUCGCUUCUGCUUCUGGGAAGAUGGAGUAAGUCUACUUUUCUCUAUCCCUCCAAAAAAGCACAACUAAAAACUCUGGACAUUAUAUAUAAAACAAAUUAAAGAAACUCUGAAAAGUAGAGGAAAAACAGCAUACUAGCUAGGGACCUCAGGACCCAAAGAGGAACACAGAGGGUAAUAGAAUUUCUAGCUGGAGACGUGGCUAACUAGCAUAAAAACUGAAUUUCCCAGCGUCUGUUGCAGGAGUUCCAGGCCCUGACACCCUGGGACAAGUUGGCCAAAAACCACAAGAGACCGAAGCUGACACCAGAAUGCACAUUGAUUAAUUUACUAGGGAGACCUGAUGGGAAUAUAGAAGAUGGCUUCCUGAGCAUAAAAUCAAAACAAGAGGAAACAGGUGAGGUAAGUGUAUACCGAUGAUCCUUUUACCUUGGAAACUGGAGUGACAGGAGUAAAAUAAAACCCCCAAAUCUCUUAUCUUUAUCUUUACAUCUGAAAUGGCGCUGCAGCUGGGAGCAAAAAUAGGUCAAAGGCAGAAGGUAAGGCUUCCUUUUCCUGACCCUAACCCUGUAUCCUCCCACAGAUGAACAACUGACACAUUCUUUUUUUUCUUUUUAAUGUUUUACGUUUUUUUUCUUUCCUUUUCUUUCUUUUUUUUUUCUUUUUUAGAGAAAGAGAGACAGUGUGCA